AUUUGAGGACUGGGGAACAAGAGAGGAAGGAGAAGGACUUCAGAGGCCAGUCACCCAGCUACACAGUCAGACAUGGAGUAAGGAGAGAAAAGGUUGUAUACAGGAAUACAAAAAGUACUUGACUUCCAGGGAUCUGGAAAGAUGCCACCAAGAAUCAGAAGAAAUGAGAGGACGCUCUUCUACAACCACUACUGACAACUGGUAGCAUUAUUUCUGCUAACCAGUGACCUCCUAUGAAUGAAAGCACAUUCCAAGCCCCGUGGACUUCUCCUGGACAGUGGACACACGAUGCUGCUUUUCAGAAAUAAAGAAGGCCCCAGUGUGCACGGCAGGGCCACGGAGUCCCUUCAGAUUCGCACAGCAUGCUGUUUGUUAUGUGGGAACAAGCUACAAUCACAGAGCACUUUUACAUUCCUUGGGACAAAAGAAAUUUCACAAAUUAUUCAAUAAAUCUCCGAUUUUCUGUUA